GAUGAACGCUGGCGGCGUGCCUAAUACAUGCAAGUCGAGCGAACAGACGAGGAGCUUGCUCCUCUGACGUUAGCGGCGGACGGGUGAGUAACACGUGGAUAACCUACCUAUAAGACUGGGAUAACUUCGGGAAACCGGAGCUAAUACCGGAUACUAUAUUGAACCGCAUGGUUCAAUAGUGAAAGACGGUUUUGCUGUCACUUAUAGAUGGAUCCGCGCCGCAUUAGCUAGUUGGUAAGGUAACGGCUUACCAAGGCAACGAUGCGUAGCCGACCUGAGAGUGUGAUCGGCCACACUGGAACUGAGACACGGUCCAGACGCCUACGGGAGGCAGCAGUAGGGAAUCUUCCGCAAUGGGCGAAAGCCUGACGGAGCAACGCCGCGUGAGUGAUGAAGGUCUUCGGAUCGUAAAACUCUGUUAUUAGGGAAGAACAAAUGUGUAAGUAACUAUGCACGUCUUGACGGUACCUAAUCAGAAAGCCACGGCUAACUACGUG
rnacentral:rRNA from 1 species